AUUGAACGCUGGCGGCAGGCCUAACACAUGCAAGUCGAACGAGUGGCGGACGGGUGAGUAAUGUCUGGUAAAAUGCCUGAUGGAUUGGGAUAACUACUGGAAACGGUAGCUAAUACCGCAUACCAUCGGAUUUGCCCAGAUGGGAUUAGCUAGUAGGUGGGGUAAAGUCUCACCUAGGCAACGAUCCCUAGCUGGACUGAGAGGAUGACCAGCCAAACGUGAACUGAGACACGGUCCAGACUCCUACGGGAGGCAGCAGUGGGGAAUAUUGCACAAUGGGCGCAAGACGGAUGCAGCCAUGCCGCGUGUAUGAAGAAGGCCUUCGGGUUGUAAAGUACUUUCAGCGGGUAGGCGUUACCCGCAGAAGAAGCACCGGCUAACUCCGUGCCAGCAGCCGCGGUAAUUC
rnacentral:rRNA from 1 species